rnacentral:tRNA from 1 species
GGGGAUGUAGCUCAGUGGCACAGCACUUGCCUGCCAAGCAUGAAAUCCUGAGUUCUAUUCCCAGUACCA